CCAGCCAUACUCAGUAUAUCACUAUGAGAGAAAGCUCUAAGACCCAAGAAAUCUCUAGUCAAACCCUCGCCAGCGCCUCCUCCACUACCACCACCAUUAUCAUUUGUUGUUGCUUUUGAGAGAGAGUCAUGGAAGUUCCCACCUUUCUUAGUAUUCAAAACCCCGCUAACAAAUGCAUCUUCGAAAGAGUUAGUCCCUUCAAACCCAGAAGAAGAAGAUAGAGAAUUCAUCAUUUCUUGAAUAAGGGCACCUGAGGGUGCUCCACUAGCACCAGCAGUAGUAGAACCAGAAGGAACAGCAAGUCCAGCUUUAUUCCCAAAAGGAGCCUGCAGGCCAUCAACAAAUGACCAGCCACCUGGCAGCUCUUUAUGUGAGGACAAAUUCAGACCAAAACCAGUUGUAUUUGCAUCGUUGUUGCUAGAAUUGGAAGACACGUGAGCUUGUUCGUCGUGCUGGUAGUGGUGGGGUCUCAUCAAGCCGGCAGUUUUACCGCUUAUGGUUGCGCCCAUCUGAGUUGCUUUUUGCAGCAAUGCAGUAGCUGACACGUGUGGGGAUGGAGCUGCAUGGUAAUGUGGUAGAGCGGGUCCAAGACUAGGGUUAGGGUUUGGGCUCAAUUCUUGGUGAUGGGUAAGGAUCAAAGAUGAGGAGGAGGAGAGAUGAUCAACGGGUAUCUGCCAAUGAUGUGGCCCAGCCCCAGCCCCUAGUCCUGGAGGGCAAGCAAGCCAUGGUGGUAACUCUGGCCUUAGACUAAAACUUUGUAGCUCUUUUUUAAGUGAAAAUGCAUGCAAGCCUUGAGUACUGGUAGUAUUGAAUUGGGGCAUUUGGAGAUUUAUAUUAUGACUAGUUGAAGAACCUGGAGCGGGCUGAGCGGAGUGGAGUACUGAGUUUGGUGCGCCUACGAUAGCUCUUCCAUUCUCCUCUGCUAANGGCAUCACAGAAAGCUCUGUGAGUGAUGAAACUGUCCCUCCUUGAGAAAAGGGUUCCACAGUCACAUCUGUAUUCCUUAGUGCCGCAGGUCUUGGUGUGAGCCUUCCAAUCUGAUUGAACUGCGUACCUC
rnacentral:misc_RNA from 1 species